rnacentral:rRNA from 1 species
UACGGAAGGUGCAAGCGUUAUUCGGAAUAACUGGGCGUAAAGCGCACGUAGACGGGUUCAUAAGUCGGAUGUGAAAUCCCCAAGCUUAACUUGGGAACUGCAUUCGAAACUGUAGAUCUUGAAUGCUUCAGAGGUUGGUGAAAUUUCAGGUGUAGGAGUGAAAUCCGUAGAUAUCUGAAGGAACACCGGUGGCGAAGGCGGCCAACUGGGGAUGCAUUGACGUUGAGGUGCGAAAGCGUGGGGAGCAAAC